AGUGAACGCUGGCGGCAGGCCUAACACAUGCAAGUCGAACGGCAGCACGGCAGUAGCAAUACUGUGGGUGGCGAGUGGCGGACGGGUGAGGAAUACAUGGGAAUCUACCCUGUCGUGGGGGAUAACGUAGGGAAACUUACGCUAAUACCGCAUACGACCGAGAGGUGAAAGCGGCGGACCGCAAGGCGUCGCGCGAUUGGAUGAGCCCAUGUCGGAUUAGCUAGUUGGCGGGGUAAAGGCCCACCAAGGCGACGAUCCGUAGCUGGUCUGAGAGGAUGAUCAGCCACACUGGAACUGAGACACGGUCCAGACUCCUACGGGAGGCAGCAGUGGGGAAUAUUGGACAAUGGGCGCAAGCCUGAUCCAGCCAUGCCGCGUGAGUGAAGAAGGCCUUCGGGUUGUAAAGCUCUUUUGUCCGGAAAGAAAAGCUCUCGGUUAAUACCCGGGGGUGAUGACGGUACCGGAAGAAUAAGCACCGGCUAACUUCGUGCCAGCCGCCGCGGUAAAAC
rnacentral:rRNA from 1 species